AUUGAACGCUGGCGGCAUGCUUUACACAUGCAAGUCGAACGAGUGGCCAACGGGUGAGUAAUAUAUCGGACCGUACCGAGUAAUGGGGGAUAACCAAUCGAAAGAUUGGCUAAUACCGCAUCUUAUUCGAGCGGCCGAUAACUGCUUAGCUAGUUGGGGGGGUAAAGGCCUACCAAGGCGACGACCAGUAGCGGGUCUGAGGGGACGAUCCGCCACACUGGGACUUGUACACGCCCCAGACUCCUACGGGCGGCAGCAGUGGGGAAUUUGGGACAAUGGGGGCAACCCUGAUCCAGCCAUGCCGCGUGUAUGAAGAAGGCCUUCGGGUUGUAAAGUACUUUUGUUAGGGAAGCGGUAACUAAAGAAUAAGCACCGGCUAACUACGUGCCAGCCGCCGCGGUAAUAC
rnacentral:rRNA from 1 species